rnacentral:rRNA from 1 species
UACGUAGGGUGCAGGCGUUAAUCGGAAUUACUGGGCGUAAAGCGUGCGCAGGCGGUUUGCUAAGACAGGUGUGAAAUCCCCGGGCUUAACCUGGGAAUGGCGUUUGGGACUGGGAGUCUGGAGUACGGCAGAGGAGACUGGAAUUCCUGGUGUAGCAGUGAAAUGCGUAGAUAUCAGGAGGAACACCGAUGGCGAAGGCAGGUCUCUGGGCUGAUACUGACGCUCAUGCACGAAAGCGUGGGGAGCAAACAGG